rnacentral:rRNA from 1 species
CUCAGGACGAACGCUGGCGGCGUGCCUAACACAUGCAAGUCGAGCGAGGAGAUUCCUCGGGAUGAUCCUAGCGGCGGACGGGUGAGUAACACGUGGGCAACCUGCCUCAUAGAGAGGAAUAGCCUUCCGAAAGGGAGAUUAAUACCUCAUAACAUUGCAGUUUCGCAUGGAACAGCAAUUAAAGGAGCAAUCCACUAUGAGAUGGGCCCGCGGCGCAUUAGCUAGUUGGUGAGGUAACGGCUCACCAAGGCGACGAUGCGUAGCCGACCUGAGAGGGUGAUCGGCCACAUUGGGACUGAGACACGGCCCAGACUCCUACGGGAGGCAGCAGGUGGGGAAUAUUGCACAAUGGGGGAAACCCUGAUGCAGCCAACGCCGCGUGAGUGAUGACGGCCUUCGGGUUGUAAAGCUCUGUCUUCAGGGACGAUAAUGACGGUACCUGAGGAGGAAGCCACGGCUAACUACGUGCCAGCAGCAGC